CACCAAUGUCCACCCGGACCCCUGACAGGCCAGCGGCCCUCCGUUAUCGCCCUACAGACAGAAGACCAGGGAUUAAACUAAGCAUGGAGUCAAGAUGUCUCUUUUCUUUUUUCAUCUCAGCUGCCAAGAAUAAGGCCGAUCUCUAUAAGUUGUCUGCAGGCUAAGGAGCCCAGGUGAGAAUCCCAGCCUUCAGAGCACACAGUCCUCCACGAGCCCCUGCUGAACACCUGCAGCACAGAGCUUCUGCCACUCACACGCACUGAGACCGAGAGAGAGAUGCGAAGGCAGUGGAGCUGACGCCACUGUAGGCAACUCGACAGGGACGUGGGGGUCCUGCGAGCCCGGGUCGUAGAAGUGAAUCGAAUGGCUG